CCUACGGGUGGCAGCAGUGGGGAAUAUUGCGCAAUGGGGGCAACCCUGACGCAGCGACGCCGCGUGAUUGAAGAAGGCCUUCGGGUUGUAAAGAUCUUUAAUCGGGGACGAAUUUUGACGGUACCCGAAGAAUAAGCCUCGGCUAACUACGUGCCAGCAGCCGCGGUAAUACGUAGGAGGCACGCGUUAUCCGGAAUGACUGGGCGGAAAGGGUGCGUAGGUGGUUUGACAAGUUGGUAGCGUAACUCCGGGGCUCAACCUCGGCACUACUACCAAAACUGUCGGACUUGAGUGCAGGAGGGGCAAAUGGAAUUCCUAGUGUAGCGGUGGAAUGCGUAGAUAUUAGGAGGAACACCAGUGGCGAAGGCGAUUUGCUGGACUGUAACUGACACUGAGGCACGAAAGCGUGGGGAGCAAACAGGAUUAGAUACCCGAGUAGUC
rnacentral:rRNA from 1 species